rfam:Lactobacillus coleohominis 101-4-CHN genomic scaffold supercont1.1, whole genome shotgun sequence.
GCAGACAUAGCCCAGUUGGUAGAGCGUCUGACUGUUAAUCAGAGGGUCACAGGUUCGAGUCCUGUUGUCUGCG